CCGUGCCCAAGAGAUCGGGAUAACACCUGGAAACAGAUGCUAAUACCGGAUAACAACAGAUGAUGCCUAUCAACUGUUUAAAAGAUGGUUCUGCUAUCACUCUUGGAUGGACCUGCGGUGCAUUAGCUAGUUGGUAGGGUAACGGCCUACCAAGGCGAUGAUGCAUAGCCGAGUUGAGAGACUGAUCGGCCACAUUGGGACUGAUACACGGCCCAAACUCCUACGGGAGGCAGCAGCG
rnacentral:rRNA from 1 species